AGUGAACGUUGGCGGCGUGGAUUAGGCAUGCGAGUCGAGCGAGAACCGUAGCAAUACGGGGACAGCGGCGAAAGGGACAGUAAUAUGUAGGUACCUACCCUCGGGUCCGGGAUAGCUGCGGGAAACUGCAGGUAGUACCGGAUGACAUCUCCGGAUCAAAGGUGUGAUUCCGCCCGGGGAGGGGCCUGCAUCCUAUUAGCUUGUUGGUGGGGUAACGGCCUACCAAGGCGACGAUGGGUAGCGGGUGUGAGAGCAUGACCCGCGUCAUUGGGACUGAGACACUGCCCAGACACCUACGGGUGGCUGCAGUCGAGAAUCUUCGGCAAUGGGGGCAACCCUGACCGAGCGACGCCGCGUGCGGGAUGAAGGCCUUCGGGUUGUAAACCGCUGUCGUAGAGGAGGAAAUGCAGGGGGGUUCUCCCCUCUGUUUGACCUAUUCUAGGAGGAAGGACGGGCUAAGUUCGUGCCAGCCGCCGCGGUAA
rnacentral:rRNA from 1 species